rnacentral:rRNA from 1 species
AUAGAGACUCAGAGCUGCAUAUCAAUAAGCGGAGGAAAAGAAACUAACAAGGAUUCCCUUAGUAACGGCGAGUGAAGCGGGAAGAGCUCAAAUUUGAAAUCUUCAAGGUUCUACCUUGACGAAUUGUAGUUUAAAGAAGUGUUUUCUGUUAGAUGAGUAGCAAAAGUUCCUUGGAAUGGGACAUCAUAGAGGGUGAGAAUCCCGUAUUUGGUUAUUCAUUCUCAGCUUUGUGAUACACUUUCAAAGAGUCGGAUUGUUUGGGAAUGCAGUCCAAAAUGGGUGGUAAAUUUCAUCUAAAGCUAAAUAUUGGCGAGAGACCGAUAGCGAACAAGUACCGUGAGGGAAAGAUGAAAAGAACUUUGAAAAGAGAGUUAAACAGUACGUGAAAUUGUCAAAAGGGAAGCGUUUGACACCAGUGUUGUUUUCUCGAAAAUCAAUUAAGAAUGACUUGAUUUUGUGUUGUAUUGACCUUAUCAGCUUUCUGCACUUUUUUCAUGUCUUUCUUAAUGCACUUUUCGGUUAACAAGUCAACAUCAAUUUCUUUUGUUGUAAAAGAGUCAUUCGGAAGGUGGCUUUCUUUUCGGAGAAAGUGUUUAUAGCCCUUAUGCCUCUACAAUCGGAGAGAUUGAGGUCUGCAGCGUAGAUCCUUCGGGGUUAGAUACAGUUUGUGCUAAGUUAUAGCCUUUUCAUAGACAACUUGUUGACUAUGAUUCAGUCAUGUAGCUUACUCGCUUAUGCUAUUUUACCUACGCUUAGGAUGUUGACGAUCAGCUGAGCGCG